CCUACGGGAGGCAGCAGUGAGGAAUAUUGGUCAAUGGGCGUAAGCCUGAACCAGCCAAGUCGCGUGAGGGAUGAAGGUUCUAUGGAUCGUAAACCUCUUUUAUAAGGGAAUAAAGUGCGGGACGUGUCCCGCUUUGUAUGUACCUUAUGAAUAAGGAUCGGCUAACUCCGUGCCAGCAGCCGCGGUAAUACGGAGGAUCCGAGCGUUAUCCGGAUUUAUUGUGUUUAAAGGGUGCGUAGGCGGCAUGUUAAGUCAGCGGGGAAAGUCUGUGGCGCAACCAUAGAAUUGCCGUUGAAACUGGGAGGCUGGAGUGUGUGUGAGGCAGGCGGAAUGCGAGGUGUAGCAGUGAAAUGCGUAGAUAUCACGCAGAACCCCGAUGGCGAAGGCGGCCAGCCAGGACAUGACUGACGCUGAGGCACGAAAGCGUGGGGAGCAAACAGGAUUAGAUACCCCAGUAGUC
rnacentral:rRNA from 1 species